rnacentral:ncRNA from 1 species
GGGGAAGUAUGGUUGCAAAGCUGGAACUUAAAGGAAUUGACGGAAGGGCACCACCAGGAGUGGAGCCUGCGGCUUAAUUUGACUCAACACGGGGAAACUCACCCGGCCCGGACACAGUAAGGAUUGACAGAUUGAGAGCUCUUUCUUGAUUCUGUGGGUGGUGGUGCAUGGCCGUUCUUAGUUGGUGGAGCGAUUUGUCUGGCUAAUCCCGAUAACGAACGAGACUCUGGCAUGCUAACUAGUUCGGCGAUCCCGUGCGAUCGGCCGCAACUUCUUAGAGGGACAGCCGGCAGUAAGCCGGACGAGAUGGAGCAAUAACAGGUCUGUGAUGCCCUUAGAUGUCCGGGGCCGCACGCGCGCUACAAUGAAGGCAUCAGCGAGUUUUUCGCCUUCGCCGAAAGGUGCGGGUAACCUGCUGAACCGCCUUCGUGCUAGGGAUCGGGGAUUGCAAUUAUCUCCCAUGAACGAGGAAUUCCCAGUAGAUGCGUGUCAUCAGCGCGCGUUGAUUACGUCCCUGCCCUUUGUACACACCGCCCGUCGCUACUACCGAUUGAAUGGUUUAGUGAGGUCAGUCGAUCGGCCCCUCUCGGGCCGGCAACGGUCUGGAGGAGCGCCGAGAAGCCGAUCAAACUUGACCAUUUAGAGGAAGUAAAAGUCGUAACAAGGUUUCCGUAGGUGAACCUGCGGAAG